UACGGAGGGUGCGAGCGUUGUCCGGAAUCAUUGGGCGUAAAGGGCGCGUAGGUGGCCCGGUCAGUUCGUGGUGAAAGCGCGGGGCUCAACCCUGCGUCGGCCAUGAAUACUGCCGCGGCUGGAGCACUGUAGAGGCAGGCGGAAUUCCGGGUGUAGCGGUGGAAUGCGUAGAGAUCCGGAAGAACACCGGUGGCGAAGGCGGCCUUCUGGGCAGUGACUGACGCUGAGACGCGAAAGCGUGGGGAGCAAACAGG
rnacentral:rRNA from 1 species